rnacentral:sRNA from 1 species
AUUUGGAGUAGGAAUUGGCUCAUGAGCCAAACGGCUUCUACAAGGUCCACAUGUAGAAGGCUUGGAGAAACUAAUGUAUCAUUUCUCACUUUCUCUUUCAGGGUUUUUUUUUUUUAUUUUUUUAUUUUGCCCUAAAGGAGAUGAGGUAUGAGAAGUCGUUUUCUUUCAAGAUCAUUAAGGCAGUUUUAACUAGUGUGGUUGGGGAGGGAUAGUUAAAAAAAAAAAAAAGAAUUUGAGCCUGGUAAACAAGAAGUUUAGCUAAGCGUAAGCAGUUAGCUGGAGGGAGGGGAGUGGGAUUUUUGCAGUCAGUUUAACUGUAGCUAAGAUACACUAGCGGGGCAUCAGAACCUCGGGUUCCUAGAAUAGAGUAGGGCAAUUUUCCACAGGACUUUUCAUCAAUGAGAUAAAAUUGUAGUCAAGCCUAAAAAGGCCUCAGGAGAAGCAGAUGGUGCAGAACAGGCACACCGCUGUUGGGAUCAGUUUAAGUUUUUAAAUGGGCACAGCUACAAAUAACCACUCCAUUGUUAAAGGAGAAGGAGCACCGAGACUAUCUGAUUUAAAGACCUAUUCUAAGACUUCACCAUCAAGGGACUGUGGCAGGGCAGUGGACCAAUAAGAUGGGUAAAGACAUUUUCUGCCAGCUUUGAUUCUAGGUCCAUGUGGUAGAAAGAGCUGACUUCUACAGGUUGCCCUCUGAACUCCACAUGUAUGCCCAGCACACAUUCCCCACUGCAAUUAAAUAAAGUAAAUGUAAAAAGAAAAUUUUUUUAAGUGUGUUUAAGACUGUGUGGUAAUGACGAUAGAAGAGACAAACACAUUGGUAGGUCACAACACAUCCCAGGGGAAGGUCCAAAACGAUGUAGGCAACUGAUCUUUGACGAUGAGCAAGAGCAGCACUAUGAAGCAGCAGGAUUGUCUUUCUAACACACGGUGCUGGAACCACUGUAUGUCCACGUGCAAGGGAAUCUGAAAGAAGUCUCUCACAAAAAGUACUUGAAACCAUUGGUACUGCAGACCAGAUGGAAUGCUAAAUUGUAAAUAAGACCAUUGUGGUGGUUUGCAUACGCUCGAUCCACAGGAAGUGGCACUCGUAGGAGGU